UACGUAGGGUGCGAGCGUUGUCCGGAAUUAUUGGGCGUGAAGAGCUUGUAGGCGGUUUCAAAAGUCUGUUGUUAAAGCCCACAGCUCAACUGUGGAUCGGCAAUGGAAACUGUGAGACUAGAGAGUGGUAGGGGUAGAGGGAAUUCCUAGUGUAGCGGUGAAAUGCGUAGAUAUUAGGAAGAACACCAGUGGCGAAGGCGCUCUACUGGGCCAUUACUGACGCUGAUGGACGAAAGCUAGGGGAGCGAAAGGG
rnacentral:rRNA from 1 species